AACCUUUGCAAUGUGCGCAAGCACGACAAGGUUAAUCCGAGUGUUUCCUGCUAAAGGAAUCUUUUGUUAGUUGUAAAACCACUAAUGAAUAAGGGGUGGGCAAGUUCUGGUGUCAGCCGCCGCGGUAAAACCAGCACCUCAAGUGGUCAGGAGGAUUAUUGGGCCUAAAGCAUCCGUAGCCUGUUCUAUAAGUUUCCCGUUAAAUCCAUUAGCUCAACUAAUGGGCUGCCGGAAAUACUGUAAAACUAGGAAGUGGGAGAGGUAGACGGUACUCGGUAGGAAGGGGUAAAAUCCUUUGAUCUAUUGAUGACCACCUGUGGCGAAGGCGGUCUACCAGAACACGUUCGACGGUGAGGGAUGAAAGCUGGGGGAGCAAACCGGAUUAGAUACCCGGGUAGUCCCAGCUGUAAACGAUGCAGACUCGGUGAUGCCCUGGCUUGUGGCCAGUGCAGUGCCGCAGGGAAGCCGUUAAGUUUGCCGCCUGGGAAGUACGUACGCAAGUAUGAAACUUAAAGGAAUUGGCGGGGGAGCAC
rnacentral:rRNA from 1 species